rnacentral:misc_RNA from 1 species
GAUGAAGAACGUAGCGAAAUGCGAUAAGUAAUGUGAAUUGCAGAAUUCAGUGAACCAUCGAAUCUUUGAACGCACAUUGCGCCCCUUGGUAUCCCGAGGGGCAUGCCUGUUCGAGCGUCAUUUCACCACUCAAGCCUGGCUUGGUGUUGGGCGACGUCCUCUUUGGGGACGCGCCUCGAAACGCUCGGCGGCGUGGCACCGGCUUUAAGCGUAGCAGAAUCUUUCGCUUUGGAAGUCGGGGCCCCGUCUGCCGGAAGACCUGCUCGCAAGGUUGACCUCGGAUCAGGCAGGGAUACCCGCUGAACUUAAGCAUAUCAAUAAGCGGAGGA